rnacentral:rRNA from 1 species
UACAGAGGUCUCAAGCGUUGUUCGGAUUCAUUGGGCGUAAAGGGUGCGUAGGCGGCGCGGUAAGUCGGGCAUGAAAUCUCUCGGCUCAACCGGGAGAGGUUGUCCGAUACUGUUGGACUUGAGGGCAGUAGAGGGUGGUGGAAUUCCGGGUGUAGUGGUGAAAUGCGUAGAUAUCCGGAGGAACACCAGUGGCGAAAGCGGCCACCUGGACUGUACCUGACGCUCAAACGCGAAAGCUAGGGGAGCGAACGGG